UACGUAGGGUGCAAGCGUUAAUCGGAAUUACUGGGCGUAAAGCGUGCGCAGGCGGCUUUGUAAGUCUGUCGUGAAAGCCCCGGGCUCAACCUGGGAAUUGCGAUGGAGACUGCAAGGCUUGAAUCUGGCAGAGGGGGGUGGAAUUCCUGGUGUAGCAGUGAAAUGCGUAGAUAUCAGGAGGAACACCGAUGGCGAAGGCAGGUCUCUGGGCUGACACUGACGCUCAUGCACGAAAGCGUGGGGAGCAAACAGG
rnacentral:rRNA from 1 species